rnacentral:lncRNA from 1 species
GUGCCUGGUGUAUGGUCCCAGAGAAAGGGAGCCAUUACCUUGAAAAUCCCCCCAAUGGAGUUCCUGUAGCAAGGGAUGAUGGGGGCAUCCCUUGAACAUCUUCCCUAUUCUGCCUGACAGUAAUAGGUGCCUGGCGUAUGGUCCCAGAGAAAGGGAGCCAUUACCUUGAAAAUCCCCCCAUUGGGGUUCCUGUAGCAAGGGAUGAUGGGGGCAUCCCUUGAACAUCUUCCCUAUUCUGCCUGGCAGGAAUAGGUGCCUGGCGUAUGGUCCCCAGGAGAGAAAAGGACAAAGACAGUGAGAAAGAGAAAGACAGUGAGGAAUUUUCCGCCAGUCUGGGGGACAUUCUACCCAAUUGCAUCCUGGAGCCAUUCUCCCAAGAAGGGGUUCCCAUACUCCACCAAAGGUUAGAGUUUGGUACUUCCCUUGAACUGGAGUCCCGAGUGGGACUUUCCUCGCAGUUCAGAGCGUGGUCAGGUGCCAGAGGGAGGGAUCCCAAUCCAGCCUUAGGAAAAGAAACCUUCCACGGGAGUCUUGGAGAUUGGCGGCCGUCCUAAUGACUUAAGUGGCCGACCCGCGCCCACGUAAAAUUUGUCUAUUAGAGAUAGAGUCAGGAAGGAAUGGAUUAAUUCAUUCUCCAUCACCCUGAGGCUUAAGGUACUGAAUCUCUUCAAGCUGAAUGCCACAAUUUGCCCCAUAGAGUAGCCAUGGGCAGCAAACGUGGAUUCAUACAACCAUCCAAGAAAGUUCCCGAUGGAGCAGUGAAUCUAGAUCCAUCCUUGAAAAAGAGAAAGGCAUAAGGAAGAAAAGGGCACUUACCAGAACUCGAGCUCACAAGCCGAUGAAGCAAGUCCCCGUACGGGC